UACGUAGGGUGCGAGCGUUGUCCGGAAUUAUUGGGCGUAAAGGGCUCGUAGGCGGUUUGUCACGUCGGGAGUGAAAACUCAGGGCUCAACCCUGAGCCUGCUUCCGAUACGGGCAGACUAGAGGUAUGCAGGGGGAGAACGGAAUUCCUGGUGUAGCGGUGAAAUGCGCAGAUAUCAGGAGGAACACCGGUGGCGAAGGCGGUUCUCUGGGCAUUACCUGACGCUGAGGAGCGAAAGCUAGGGGAGCAAACAGG
rnacentral:rRNA from 1 species